UACGUAGGGGGCAAGCGUUGUCCGGAUUUAUUGGGCGUAAAGAGCGUGUAGGCGGCCACACAGGUCAGCUGUGAAAACUCGAGGCUCAACCUCGAGACGUCGGUUGAAACCGUAUGGCUAGAGUCCGGAAGAGGAGAGUGGAAUUCCCGGUGUAGCGGUGAAAUGCGCAGAUAUCGGGAAGAACACCCGUGGCGAAGGCGGCUCUCUGGGACGGUACUGACGCUGAGACGCGAAAGCGCGGGGAGCGAACAGG
rnacentral:rRNA from 1 species